UACGAAGGGGGCUAGCGUUGCUCGGAAUGACUGGGCGUAAAGGGCGCGUAGGCGGCUUCUUAAGUUUGGGGUGAAAGGUUCAGCGCUCAACGUGAACAGUGCCUUGAAUACUGGGGAGCUUGAAUGUGGCAGAGGGUCAUGGAAUUUCCGGUGUAGCGGUGAAAUGCGUAGAUAUCGGAAGGAACACCAAUGGCGAAGGCAGUGACCUGGGCUAACAUUGACGCUGAGGUGCGAAAGCGUGGGGAGCGAACGGG
rnacentral:rRNA from 1 species